GCGACGCCUCUCCUUCCUCUGUACUCUAGCACCUACAGGAAGAUAAACAUAUGUACAGGAAGAGAAACUACCAAGCACUCACGCAUGAAGCUGCCUCCUGCCCUCCUCCAUAAUUUCCGUAAGUGUCCAUCGUUUCCAAACGCACAGGGACCUGCGCCUCAAUCUCCUCCCUCGUUUCCCUCGGCCCUCUGCCAUCUCUUCUCCAUCCUCCCAGAGAACUCCUCCCAAAGAAACGGUGUUCCAUGGACGUCAGUCCUCGAUUCCAUUGAAGGAGACCAUCCCCAUCCAUGCCCUUGCGCCAGAAGGUUCCCCUCCACACCAUCAUUCCAUUCAGGGAAGAAGGAACGCGUCCCAUCGAUCGAUCACACACGGAGAAUUCUGCAUGUUCGCGUACACUGUUAAUCAAGUUCGUCGCAACGUACCGUCAAACCCGAGUUACAUGAAGACGAAGGUGAUGACCACGACUACUAUGGCGACCCGUAAGAGUGAGGUCACGUGGACUACAUCGACUGCCUGUGGCUGAGAUGGAGUCGCUACGCAUUGUACUUUCCGCUGUUUUUCUGAAUGUAAUAAAUAUCAUGAGACAUUUCUCUAGGUAUGCCUUGUGGCAAGAUAUAUUUAAAUUUGUAAUACCUUUUACGUAUUGUGCGAUGAUAUCAUUUC